rnacentral:rRNA from 1 species
GGUUUUUUGAUUAUAAUAAAAAAUUUAACCUGCUCAAUGAAAUAUUAAAUAGCUGCAGUAUAUUGACUGUACAAAGGUAGCAUAAUCAAUAGUUUUUUAAUUGAAAGCUGGAAUGAAUGGUUUGAUGAAAUAAAAUCUUUUUUAGAUUUAAAAAAUUUAAAAUUUUUUUGUUAGUUAAAAAGCUAACAUAUUUUUAAAAGACGAGAAGACCCUAUAGAGUUUUUUAAUUGGGGUGAUUUUUAAAAGUUAAUAAACUUUAAUUUAUUAUGAUUUCAAAAAUGAUUGUAUUUAAAGAUCUUUAAUUUAAAUUACCUUAGGGAUAACAGUGUAA